rnacentral:rRNA from 1 species
CAGUCGCCGCGGUAAUACGUAGGGUGCGAGCGUUAAUCGGAAUUACUGGGCGUAAAGCGUGCGCAGGCGGUUAUAUAAGACAGAUGUGAAAUCCCCGGGCUCAACCUGGGACCUGCAUUUGUGACUGUAUAGCUAGAGUACGGUAGAGGGGGAUGGAAUUCCGCGUGUAGCAGUGAAAUGCGUAGAUAUGCGGAGGAACACCGAUGGCGAAGGCAAUCCCCUGGACCUGUACUGACGCUCAUGCACGAAAGCGUGGGGGGCAAACAGGAUUAGAUACCCCGGUAGUCCCUGUCUCUUAUAA